GAUCCUGGCUCAGAUUGAACGCUGGCGGCAUGCCUUACACAUGCAAGUCGAACGGCAGCACGGGUGCUUGCACCUGGUGGCGAGUGGCGAACGGGUGAGUAAUAUAUCGGAACGUACCUUAUCGUGGGGGAUAACGCAGCGAAAGCUGCGCUAAUACCGCAUACGCCCUGAGGGGGAAANCGGGGGACCUAAGGCCUCGCGCGAUUAGAGCGGCCGAUAUCUGAUUAGCUUGUUGGUGGGGUAAAAGCCCACCAAGGCGACGAUCAGUAGCUGGUCUGAGAGGACGAUCAGCCACACUGGGACUGAGACACGGCCCAGACUCCUACGGGAGGCAGCAGUGGGGAAUUUUGGACAAUGGGCGAAAGCCUGAUCCAGCCAUGCCGCGUGAGUGAAGAAGGCCUUCGGGUUGUAAAGCUCUUUUACCAGGGAUGAUAAUGACAGUACCUGGAGAAUAAGCUCCGGCUAACUCCGUG
rnacentral:rRNA from 1 species